rnacentral:piRNA from 1 species
UAAAUCCUUCGUUUAAAUUGU